CCAAUAGCGUAUAUUAAAGUUGUUGCAGUUAAAAGCUCGUAGUUGAAUUUCGGGAUCAAUUUAUUGGUCGUGCUAUUGUACGUACUGGUAUUAUUGAUUUCUACCUUCUGACGAACCAUGAUGUCAUUAAUUUGGUGUCUUGGGGAAUCAGGACUGUUACUUUGAAAAAUUAGAGUGUUUAAAGCAGGCUCACGCUUGAAUACAUUAGCAUGGAAUAACGAAAUAGGACGUUUGAUUUCUAUUUUGUUGGUUUCUAGGAUCGACGUAAUGAUUAAUAGGGAUAGUUGGGGGCAUUAGUAUUCAAUUGUCAGAGGUGAAAUUCUUGGAUUUAUUGAAGACUAACUACUGCGAAAGCAUUUGCCAAGGAUGUUUUCAUUAAUCAAGAACGAAAGUUAGGGGAUCGAAGACGAUCAGAUACCGUCGUAGUCUUAACCAUAAACUAUGCCGACUAGGGAUCGGAUGAUGUUAAUUUUUAAUGACUCAUUCGGCGCCUUACGGGAAA
rnacentral:rRNA from 1 species